UGGGGAAUCUUGGACAAUGGGGGCAACCCUGAUCCAGCCAUGCCGCGUGAGUGAUGAAGGCCUUAGGGUCGUAAAGCUCUUUCGCCUGUGAAGAUAAUGACGGUAGCAGGUAAAGAAACCCCGGCUAACUCCGUGCCAGCAGCCGCGGUAAUACGGAGGGGGUUAGCGUUGUUCGGAAUUACUGGGCGUAAAGCGCACGUAGGCGGACCAGAAAGUUGGGGGUGAAAUCCCGGGGGCUCAACCCCGGAACUGCCUCCAAAACUAUUGGUCUAGAGUUCGAGAGAGGUGAGUGGAAUUCCAAGUGUAGAGGUGAAAUUCGUAGAUAUUUGGAGGAACACCAGUGGCGAAGGCGGCUCACUGGCUCGAUACUGACGCUGAGGUGCGAAAGUGUGGGGAGCAAACAGGAUUAGAUACCC
rnacentral:rRNA from 1 species